CUGUAGCGCAAAGAGUAGCGCGCUGGAUUUUUAAUCCAAAGAUCAUGGGUUCGAAUCACAUCUGCAAUGG